rnacentral:lncRNA from 1 species
AGCCUCCAGAGUAGCUGGGACCGGCUAGUUUUUUGUAUUUUUUAGUAGAGAGGGGGUUUCACCGGGUUAGCCAGGAUGGUCUCAAUCUCCUGACCUCGUGAUCCGCCCGUCUCGGCCUCCGAAAGUGCUGGGAUUACAGGCUUGAGCCACUGCGCCCGACCCCUAAUCUACUUUUCCAAACACAGUGAUACAGCUCCGGUGAGUGGAGGAACACCAGGGCUUUUGUCUCUCACGAAUCGGAUAAAAUGACAUGGACAUACAUGGAGUGGUUUUAAGGAGUGGAGAGUUUAAUAGGCAAGACAGAAGAGAGAAGAAAGAAGAAAGAAGCUCCCCGGUACACAGACAGAGGGAGAGGGGCCUACAAAGCGGAGAGAGGAAACCCAAGUACAGGUAUCUUCCAAAGACAAUAGAAAUGGCUGCUUGGAAUUGAGAUUUAAUUUGUUCAUAAAAACAAAAACAAGAAAGAAAGGAAUUUGAACAGAGAUUAUUUCAGACUUAGAAAAUCCAGCACCUUCUAUUGUGUAAUAUUUGAGAGGGAAUACACAGCAACAAAGAGAGACCAAGCUGCAUAUUCUACACUUUGAUGGGAAAAUUCCUUAGCUAAAUGUCCAACUGCAGAGCAUACAAAUUCUACCUUCCUCUCAAAAGAAGAAGUCAGUUCAGGGUCUCACUUUAUCACCAGGCUGGAGUGCAGUGGCACCAUCUCUACUCACUGAAACCUCUGCCUCCCAGGUUCAAGCAAUUCUUGUGCCUCAGCCUCCCAAAUAGCUGGGACUACAGGCUGGAAUGCAGAGGUGCCAUCAUAGCUCACUGCAACCUCAAAUGCCUGACUCAAGCCAUCCUGCCACCUCACUCUCUUGAGUAGAUGAGACUAGAGGAAAAUGCCACCACACCAGGAUAUAUAUAUAUUUAAUAUUUGGCAUGUUUAUAUGUAUUUAUUUAUUUAAAACUUUCAUUUUAGGGUCAGGGUGAGGGUUUGUAACAUAGGUAAAUGCAUAUCACGGGGGUUUGUAGUACAGAUAAUUUCAUCACAUAGGUAUUAAGCCCACUACCCAAUAGUUAUCUUUUCUGCUUCUCUCCGUCCUCCCACCCUCCUUCCUCAAGCAGACCCUAGUGUCUGUGAUUCCCUUCUUUGUGUUCAUGAGUUUUCAUCAAUUAGCUCCCACUUGUAAGUGACUUCUAAUUUCUGGACUUCAGAAGUGUGAGAAAAUAAGUGUGGUGUUUCAAGACACCAGAUUUUCAGAAUUUAUUACUGUGGCCACAGAAAACUAAUACAAGAGUUUACUUUUUUUUUUUUUUAAGUAGUCUUUGCUUACCCUGUUCCCCCUCUGAUUUUACUAAUUCAGCAUUUCCCUACACUUAAGUAAAUUUUCACUUCUCGUUUUAUUUCUUGUUCCCAUUUUCUUCUUCUACUACUACUGCUACUACUAAUACUGCUACUACUACUGUUACUAUUACUACCACCACCACAGAAAAUAUAG